rnacentral:snoRNA from 1 species
GUGCAGGCUUUUGCAGCGAGGCCCAGCCUGAUGUGGCUGCGUCCUCCCCUCCCAGCUCUGCCAGAGUCAAGCGGGGCCGUUUGAGGCUCUGCUGUGGUUCUCCACACCAGGGUUAUAGGUUCGCCUCCAACACCA